CAGUAGCCGCGGUAAUACGUAGGUGGCAAGCGUUGUCCGGAAUUAUUGGGCGUAAAGGGCUCGCAGGCGGUUUCUUAAGUCUGAUGUGAAAGCCCCCGGCUUAACCGGGGAGGGUCAUUGGAAACCGGGAAACUUGAGUGCAGAAGAGGAGAGUGGAAAUCCACGUGUAGCGGUGAAAUGCGUAGAGAUGUGGAGGAACACCAGUGGCGAAGGCGACUCUCUGGUCUGUAACUGACGCUGAGGAGCGAAAGCGUGGGGAGCGAACAGGAUUAGAGACCCCCGUAGUCCCUGUCUCUUAUAC
rnacentral:rRNA from 1 species